GGGUGGGCGGGGAUGAGGAGGGGGUUGGGUGGCUGGUGGCCCUAGAGGCUGGCCCUAAAGAAUACCUGGACAGCCUGCCACCCUAUUGCUCCAAAAUGAAAAUCCUCUAACAGGGUCAACUGGUGGCAGGGAACAAAACCCCGCUGAGACUGGCUGAAACACAAGUGGGGCCUGUGCUCAGGGUGCAGGAAGUGGAGCAUCCAAGGGGAGAGAUGGAGUUUCACUCUUGUUGCCCAAGCUGGAGUACAAUGUCAUGAUCUUGGCUCACUGCAACCUCCACCUCCUGGGUUCAAGCAAUUCUUCUGCCUCAGCCUCCUGAGUAGCUGGGCUUACAGGGCUGUUGUGAGGAUGUGUGAAGUGUCAGCGCCAUACCUGGUCCAUAUGGCCUCAGUACAAGUGACAGUGAUGGUGAUGGUGGGGACAGUUUGAUCAGCUGCAAAGCGUCUUCUCCUGCUGAGUAGGAAGAGGAAGAGGACGGGAGUGCUACCAUAUCCUUUUAUAUACAGUUUCCCCAGUGCCAUGUUAAUCAUUCUGCAGUUGCUGCCAAAGCAACACAGAAUCCUACCCAGUUCCCAUGGAAGAUUUUCCUCCAAGGAGAAUCCAGCAGUAGAGAGAGGCCAGCCAUUUGCAACGUGGGGAGCUUUCACUCAGAGCCCUCAGUCAAACAGCCAGAAUGAGCUCUGGGGCAGCUGACAGACCAGCCAAGGCCUCUCAUAUGAUUUAAUCUGACAGAUACAAAAAGGAGCACAAAAUGAUUUUGCUGUGGCCUAGACAUGCAGAGCUCCCACAAUUACAUGUGUCCUUUCAUGAAAAAUUAGAUUAUCACCGUAGCUCCAGCAUAAUGAGUCUCUAAUGCCAAGGACUGUGUUAAUUAAUAAGUUGUACAUGUUGACUUUUAAGUCAGGGCAUCUUGGAGGGUGAACAAUUUUAUUUAUUUAUUUAUUUUUGAGAUGGAGUCUUGCUCUGUCACCCAGGCUGGAGUGCAGUGGCACCAUCUCAGCUCACUGCAACCUCUGCCUCCCGGGUUCAAGCGAUUCUCCUGCCUCAGCCUUCCGAGUAGCUGGGAUUACAGGCGCCUGCCACCACACCCGGCUAAUUUUUGUGUUUUUAGUAGAGUUGGGGUUUCGCCAUGUUGGCCAGACUAGUCUCAAACUCCUGACCUCAGGUGAUCCGCCCAUCUCAGCCUCGCAAAGUGCUGAGAUUACAAGCGUGAGCCACCACACCUGGCCAAACAAUUUAUUUUUAAUAGCUUUGGAGAAAUCUACAUGUGAUGACAUGAAAGGGCAAAAAAAUUACUCGGCAUUAGCCCAUUUAUAGUAUGUCUGGAGAGUCAGUUGACCAUCUCGGAGACCAUGUCCCUGCAGGAACAGAUGAAUAGGAAAUGCUUGCUCCUGGUGCUGAGUGGUGAAAGUUUUGUUGCAUCCUCUUAGAAGAACUUCAGUGCUCAACGGCUCUCAGAGGCUUCACUGUGUUGUCUCUGAGAUGCAGCCUCGAGGUUGUAGGAGAGAGGAUCUGGGAAGAAGUCCAACCUUGACAAGAGAGAGGGGGCCUGAAUCUGGCAAGCAAGUGGGGGCCACAUUCUCUGGGCAUUCAGAAGCCAGGAUUUCAUAGGCCAUGAAAUCUGCUGUCUUUUAGAAGUGGGCUCCGGUCUGCUUUCUCUACACAAGUUCAAAUUUUCCACCAUUUCCAGGAGCCUGCAGCUAACACAAGUGAAUGAGUGAUUUCCUCGUCAUUGACCCCAUAAACUCAGAUACUUGUAAAAGAGAAGUUAACUUACAGAGCAUAUAAAAAUCAGAAAAAAACGGGAAGAGCCUACGGACAGUCCGGUACAGCUGUGUAUGGAUCACCCAUUGGAACAAGCAUUUCUUUAGGCUUCCAAGGCUGUUGGAGGACCCUAAGAGGGAAGAAAAUGGUUUAGCUGGAGAUGGUUUGGGUGCAGACUUUCCAGAAGGCAGUACCAGUGACCAGAAGGUGGACAGACUUCAAUUCCAGCCCCAAGAGCACAGGCAGGGAGAAAUGCUCUCUAAGAAGGAGGGUCUGCCCUUGAGAUUCUUUGUCUGCAACAGCUUUGCAUCUUCCACCAGUAAAAACUUUGUUCCCAUUUUAGAUCACAGUUUAAUUUUAUUUUGUGCCAUGCUCUUUGAGGGUAAGAGGAAUGUGAAUCUCGGUGAAAACAUGUGUUGUUUCUUGUGUACCCCUCUAUACAUGUGACAAUGGCUAUCAUCUGAAAGAAGCAAUGUGCAA
rnacentral:lncRNA from 1 species